rnacentral:rRNA from 1 species
UACGGAGGGGGGCUAGCGUUGUUCGGAAUUACUGGGCGUAAAGCGCACGUAGGCGGCUUUGUAAGUUAGAGGUGAAAGCCCGGGGCUCAACUCCGGAAUUGCCUUUAAGACUGCAUCGCUAGAAUUGUGGAGAGGUAAGUGGAAUUCCGAGUGUAGAGGUGAAAUUCGUAGAUAUUCGGAAGAACACCAGUGGCGAAGGCGGCUCACUGGUCCGGUACUGGACGCUGAGGUGGCGAAAGCGUGGGGAGCGAACAGG